rnacentral:pre_miRNA from 1 species
GGGCAAAAGUUGGGCAAGACUUUGGCAAAACUUGGAUUCAGGCUGCACCAGAGUUUAACCCAGGUUUAACCUAACUCUUGCUG